rnacentral:tRNA from 2 species
GGUGCCAUAGCCAAGUGGUAAGGCAGAGGUCUGCAAAACCUCGAUUCCCCAGUUCAAAUCUGGGUGGCACCUCCA